AAUUUUACAAUUAAUAAUUUUAUAAAUAAUAAAAAUAAUUUUAAUAAUAAAAUUGGGGGGUUUUAGUAUUAAUAAAAAAAAAAUUAUAAAAUUUAUAGUGAAUUAGUAUUGUAAAAGAAUUUUUAAAUAAUUAUGAAAAAUAAAAUUUUUAAAAAGUAAAUUUAAUUUAUUGUAUCUUGUGUAUCAGAGUUUAUUAAUUAUUUUAAUAAAAUAUAUUAUUUCUCGAAUUUAAAAGAGAUAAUUAAUUAAUAAAGUUAUUAUUGCAUAAAUAUUUUUAAUAAUUAAUUGGAAAUGAAAUGUUAAUCGUUUUUAAAUAUAUCUAGUUUUUUUAGAAAAAAAUUUAAUUUUUUUUUUUUUUUAUAAAAAAUUAAUUAAUUAAUUUUUUAUAAAAAAAAUAAAAUAUUUUAAGGGAUAAGCUUUAAAUUAAAUUUUUAUAAAUUAAAUUAAUUUUAAUUAAAAUUUUUAAAAUUUAUAUUGUUUAUAAUUUUUAAUUUGUUAUAAAUUAAUUUUAAUUAAAUUAAAAUUUUUUAAUAAUUUAAUUUUUUAUAAAAAAAUAUUUUUUAAUUUAAUAAAAUUAAUUAUAAUGAUAAAAUUAGUAUUUAUUAAUAAAAUUAUGUUAUUUUUAUAUUUUUAUUUAAUUUAAAAGAAUUCGGCAAAAUUUUAUAUUCACUUGUUUAUCAAAAACAUGUCUUUUUGAAAAUAAUUUAAAGUCUAAUCUGCCCACUGAUAUAAUAUUAAAGGGCUGCAGUAUAUUGACUGUACAAAGGUAGCAUAAUCAAUAGUCUCUUAAUUGGUGACUUGUAUGAAAGAUUGGAUGAAAUAUAAACUGUUUCUAAUUUAUUUAAAGAAAUUAAUUUUUAAAUUAAAAAGUUUAAAUAAAAUUAAAAGACGAGAAGACCCUAUAGAGUUUAAUAAAAAUAUUUUUUAAAAUUUUUUAUUAAUUUAAAAAUUAAAAUAAAUUAAUUUAUUUUGUUGGGGUGAUAAAAAAAUAAAAAUAACUUUUUAUAAUUUAGUUAACAUAAAUAAAUGAAUUUUUGAUCCAAUUAUUUUGAUUAGAAGAAAAAAUUACCUUAGGGAUAACAGCGUAAUUUUUUUUUUUAGUUCAUAUAAGAAAAAAAGUUUGCGACCUCGAUGUUGGAUUAAGAUAAAAUUUAUAUGCAAAAGUUUAAAAUUUUGAUCUGUUCGAUCAUUAAAAUCUUACAUGAUCUGAGUUCAAACCGGUGUGAGCCAGGUUGGUUUCUAUCUUUAAUAAAAUAAAAUAUUUUAGUACGAAAGGAAUAAAUAUUUGAAUUAAAUUUAUUGUUAAGAAUUUUAUUAAUUUUUUUUUUAUAAAACUUAAAA
rnacentral:rRNA from 1 species